GAUGAACGCUGGCGGCGUGCCUAAUACAUGCAAGUCGAGCGAACAGACGAGGAGCUUGCUCCUCUGACGUUAGCGGCGGACGGGUGAGUAACACGUGGAUAACCUACCUAUAAGACUGGGAUAACUUCGGGAAACCGGAGCUAAUACCGGAUAAUAUAUUGAACCGCAUGGUUCAAUAGUGAAAGACGGUUUUGCUGUCACUUAUAGAUGGAUCCGCGCCGCAUUAGCUAGUUGGUAGGGUAACGGCUUACCAAGGCGACGAUGCGUAGCCGACCUGAGAGGGUGAUCGGCCACACUGGAACUGAGACACGGUCCAGACUCCUACGGGAGGCAGCAGUAGGGAAUCUUCCGCAAUGGGCGAAAGCCUGACGGAGCAACGCCGCGUGAGUGAUGAAGGUCUUCGGAUCGUAAAACUCUGUUAUUAGGGAAGAACAAAUGUGUAAGUAACUAUGCACGUCUUGACUGUACCUAAUCAGAAAGCCACGGCUAACUACGUG
rnacentral:rRNA from 1 species